CCGCCGAGCGGAACAAAGGCGGCCGCGCCGGGGCCGCCCUUGUGCCGCGGCCGCGUCGGCGCCGCCGAGCGCCAUUCGCGCUCCGGCCCGCGGGCACCCGACGGGAGCGCGGCCCCUUCCUUCGCCGCCGGUGCGGCCGCCGGGGAGGCGCUGCCGGUGCGGUGGCCGCGGGGCCGCGCUGCCGGCGGCACACGGUGCGGCGGGUUCGGCGCCUCCAGGGACGGCGGCCGCCUGGGGAUCCCUUCGGACAACUGAAGGAGCGGGCAGAGUAACUGAGCUGCCACAAAGCAGGUGCGACAGCAGUCUUGUGGAAGGAAGGAGGAACGUAUUGAAUAUCCCUUUAGCUCAGAUUUUGCUGUGGGGAUGCAUGACAAAGUUCUCAGGUCACAGCUGUCACACAAGGAGCCUGCCUCUUGGUAAACAUUUUUAUAUAUUUGCUUAAAUGGUUUGCAUUAAUCUCCUGAAAGGUUCUUGUAAAAAUGCUAAACUCCCAUCCCAAAUCCCAGUGGAACUGGAUUUCUCAUCUCUCUUAGCCCCUUUUCAAUAUUAGGGUCAGUAUCUUGCAUAUGUUUUUAUAUGAAACUCUGUGAUUAAAAGUACUUAAGAUUGGCUCAUUUUUCUCUGCAAUGAGUUCAGUUAUUUCCUUUUUAUACCUUCCAGAAUUUACUAUACCAUAUCUAAAUAUUGGCUGCAGUCCACAUGUUUUAGAUCAUUCUCUAUAAUGGUCCUGUUGUUAUAGAAUCCUUUGUGUGUGUGUGUGAGAGAGAACAUGCAUAUGUGUUGGAAGUGAGGCAGGGCGCAUAUAAUUGUUUGGAAAGAGAAAUCAGGGUAUAUUAAUUCCAUAAGUGAUUUCUGAACUGAUAACAUAAAAGUGAUAAAAAUAGCGAGCAGUGAAAUUACAGAUCUCCAGUGCAUUACCUUGCAUGUGUGGUAAAUAAUACUUCUGAUCCCAACAUACUACUCUAUGUGUAUUCUAGUAAUAAAAGGACUCAUUCACCUUUCGUUGCUA
rnacentral:lncRNA from 1 species